UGCAGAUAAAGGGAAACCCUGUUGGAGGU
rnacentral:piRNA from 1 species